rnacentral:snRNA from 1 species
GUGUUCACUUCGGCAGCACAUAUACUAAAAUUGGAAUGAUACAGAGAUUAGCAUGGCCCCUGUGCGAGGAUGACACACAAAUUCGUGAAGCGUUCUAUAUAUAU